GAAACUUUGUCCUGGAGGCAAGUGCAUCUAUUUCUCAUUCACUCUCCUCCCUCUUCCACUACUUUUCCCAUGAAACGCAUGCAAAUCCCAACAGGCAGUAAGUUUUCCUCCAGGCAUGAUAUACCUGUGUGGUUGUUCAGGUAAGGAGUGGGUUGAAGAGAAAUAGAUAUGAGGCGUUUCUGGCUGAAGCCUCGGAAAAGAGUGGCGUUGCAGGAUAAUUCAAUCACCCCUGAGCGCAUUUCUAGCUAAGGGAUAGCUGCUGUAAUUAUACGCUACACACAUCGCCUUCUUAAUUAACUUCUCCUUCCCUCAGAGAAGCGCAGGAGCUCUGAGGGGACGCGACUCUGCCGCCAAAAUGGGGGCGGCUGCUGCGCAGGCGCACUCGGCUGUCACCCGCGUUCCUACCGACCUCGCGCCGCCAGCCGGUAGCGCCACUGAUCAGGCGGAGUUGGGAGAGGAUGGCCCGGCUGUGAGCGGGCAGUACCAGUGCUGGUGAAGGAACUGUGAAUUUGGGGCAGAAGGUCCCAGAGGGCUGAUCACACAGGUCCAUUUCCACAGUUAGCACACCAAACUGAAACGCAUAGGCUCUCAGUUACGGGCACGGCACAGCGAUUUGCCAGUAUGUCUGCUGAGCAGCUGGAGCUGGCAUCAGCUGCCAAGGGCCUUGGUGGAGUUUGUUUUCAUGUGGGAGAACUGUGAGGUAAAACUACCACUCCUCCGAGCAACAGCCCUCCAAACUUCUCUCCUAUUUAUACAUAAAGAAAUAUCCAAGAAAGUUUGGGUAAAAGAUUUAAAGAGACGGUGCCAAAAAACAAAGGCAGAUGUAAUCUCCACGUGGUUACUCUCGUGAGGAGCGAAGAGGCUUUCUUUCCAUCAUUGUUUAGUUUCCUGGUGAGCAGGAGCAGGCAGAAGUGAAGGAAGAGGAGAAGAUGAAAAUAUGCCAAAGAAAGAAGUGUCUUAACAUGUUCCCCCCAAAGAACAGUGUAAGUAUUUUCUUCACCAGAACACUCACUACCUCAGUCAGCUGUCUACUGAUGGGCAUACCUUCCUGUGUGCUAAAGAGAAAGGGAGAGGCAGAAUGGUUAAAGCCAAAGCAGUGUCUUAGCUUGGGCUGCAACUCUGCUCGCUUUGCAGCACAUCAUCAGCUUCACUCAAAUGGAACAGUCCUUCCCUGACCUAACCACAAUCUGCCCAAGGUCCCCAAAUUAUUCCCACAAGUUAUACUACAACAGCUAUGACUUGCUGGGAAAGAAUCCUACAGCAGCUAAGCACAAGGAAACGUGAUUUUGCUCUUGGACAUACAGGAAAUGCAGAAGCCAAAAGGUGGGUGGGUCUUUGCUUUGGGAACAGGAAUAUUUGAGCCAUGUAGACAGACCUGGGUACCAGUUAUUUAGGUUGUAUAAACAUAAAAUAGCUUUGUGCAGACUUGCUCAGUCACAGUAGAUUCUACUUUCUAGCUGCAUUCAUAAAGAAAACAUGGUUUUUCACUGUCUGCAAAUCAGUCCAUUGAUGUUUAACAAGUAUGCAUUUAAUUUGAUGCUUACAGUGAGCUACCAGGACUAAGCAUUUAAUUUGCAUUUGAAUUCUUUUAUACUUGACAUGCAUCUGAUUUAAUCUUAAUUUUUAUAUCUUAUUAUAUAUAUAUAAAUAUCUUAAUUUUUAUAUUUUAUGUUGUGAAAAUAGAGUGAUUUUUCUGUGUUUCUCAUACUAGUUUUAUUCUUUUGGCCAGAAAUUGGAAAGAAAUAUUUUUUAUUAUUUUUAUUAGCUGAUGAAGCAGUUGAAAUAUGCUGAGUUUUUGUUGUUUUUUUAAUUAAAACAUAGCAUUUUGAAAUGGAGUUGAUAUAGAAAAUAAAGCGUGCGAUUAAUAGAACUGUUUGCUUCUGGUCCCUCUGGGUAUAUGUAAACCUUUGUGAACUGUACAAGGAGCCUGGCUAACCUCAUUCCCUGGUAACUCAGACUGUUCUGCUUGCGCAGCCAGGGAAAAUCACAGGGUUGCUAGACCUGGGAAGAAGGAUGAGGUGUUACUGUGUCAUGUCCCAGUAAGCCACUGUGAACCAGCUACAACGUGAACUCAGCUGAGGAAGCUGUGAAGCAAUUCUUGAUCCAACUGUUUAAGCACAACCUAAAUCCCUUCAGACGUUAGAGCCAGUUACUUUCUCAGUUCAUGAUUCAGCUUUCUUUACAAAUUCUGGCAGCAUACUAAUGCCAGUGCACAUUGCCAGUGCAGACAUGGCAUUUUCAGAUUCUUACACCGGUAUUUCGUAAUAGCUUGCUGGUAAUAGAUAAUUAUUGAAAUUUCCUUUAAAAGGGUUUGCCUACCUCUAAGAAAUUAGUGUGAAAUAAGUUGCUAUGCGAAUGCAAAUGCUGCAGGUAUCCUGAAAUUGCUCCCGACAUGGAAACAUUUACAUGCCAGGCAACCAGGUAAACUGUCAGAUACUGCUUUUUCAAGAGGCUGUUGAACAUCACCGAUUCAGUUUUAAAUACUGAGUUAUUCCAGACUAAUUUUACAAAAGUAGCUACUUAUUUUAGAAAGGAAAAGAAAAUUCCUCCUAGUUUAAGACAAACGAUGAGGAAAAGUGUCUGUGCAAGGAAUAAUUCUGGAGUAGUUAGAACAAGCCCUUCAUUUUUUACAUGACCACUUCACGUUUUUCACUGGCCACCUGUUAAGCGCUGAUCUGAUUAUAAAAUAAGGCAAUGUUUCAAGGCCUUCCAUAUAACAGAUUUAUCUAAGUCCCAAACUUCUUUACUG
rnacentral:lncRNA from 1 species